rnacentral:rRNA from 1 species
CACGCCGUAAACGGUGGGAACUAGGUGUUGGCGACAUUCCACGUCGUCGGUGCCGCAGCUAACGCAUUAAGUUCCCCGCCUGGGGAGUACGGCCGCAAGGCUAAAACUCAAAGGAAUUGACGGGGGCCCGCACAAGCAGCGGAGCAUGUGGCUUAAUUCGACGCAACGCGAAGAACCUUACCAAGGCUUGACAUACACCGGAAACGGCCAGAGAUGGUCGCCCCCUUGUGGUCGGUGUACAGGUGGUGCAUGGCUGUCGCCAGCUCGUGUCGUGAGAUGUUGGGUUAAGUCCCGCAACGAGCGCAACCCUUGUCCCGUGUUGCCAGCAUGCCCUUCGGGGUGAUGGGGACUCACGGGAGACCGCCGGGGUCAACUCGGAGGAAGGUGGGGACGACGUCAAGUCAUCAUGCCCCUUAUGUCUUGGGCUGCACACGUGCUACAAUGGCCGGUACAAUGAGCUGCGAUACCGUGAGGUGGAGCGAAUCUCAAAAAGCCGGUCUCAGUUCGGAUUGGGGUCUGCAACUCGACCCCAUGAAGUCGGAGUUGCUAGUAAUCGCAGAUCAGCAGUGCUGCGGUGAAUACGUUCCCGGGCCUUGCACUCACCGCCGUCGGACCAGUCG